rnacentral:hammerhead_ribozyme from 1 species
AUACUGCCGAAGAGUCCCAAACAAGGACGAAACAGCUGUCCAGUAC